rnacentral:rRNA from 1 species
CAUUACUGAGUGAGGGUUCACGCCCGACCUCCAACCCCAUGUGAACUUGUUACUGUUGCUUCGGGGGCGACCCUGCCGUUUACGCGGCGAGCGCCCCCGGAGGCCAUCAAACUCUGCAUCAAUGCGUCGGAGUAUUUCUUAAUGAAACAAAACUUUCAACAACGGAUCUCUUGGUUCUGGCAUCGAUGAAGAACGCAGCGAAAUGCGAUAAGUAAUGUGAAUUGCAGAAUUCAGUGAAUCAUCGAAUCUUUGAACGCACAUUGCGCCCCGUGGUAUUCCGCGGGGCAUGCCUGUUCGAGCGUCAUUUCACCACUCAAGCCUAGCUUGGUAUUGGGUGCCGCGUCUCGACGCGCGCCUUAAAGUCUCCCGGCUGAGCCGUCCGUCUCCCAGCGUUGUGACACAUUAUCGCUUCGGAGUGCGGGUGGCCGCGGCCGUUAAACUUCCAUUAAAGGUUGACCUCGGAUCAGGUAGGGAUACCC